ACGGUUUGAGUCAGCGGGGCCUGACGGCCAUAAAAGCAGCCAGUAGAGGCCGUUGUCCAAGAAGAGCAGCUUGGGGUGCAGAGAGGGGAGGUCCCCAAACCUCAAAGGCGUGUGGGCGGAAGAUCAAUGCAGUCAGGUCCAGAGGGGUGUGUGCCAGGGGCAGGAGCGAGGCGGUGCUGCUCGGGGUGGACACGGAGCUGUGACGACGCUGGUUUUCUAGAUUCCUGCUAUGAAUGAGACUAUCCGGUAUUUUUCUUUUUCUUUCUGGCUUAUUUCACUGAGCAUGAUCCCUUCCAGCUCCAUCCAUGUUGCUGCAAAUUGCAUGAGUUUAUCUUUUUUGAUUGCUGAGUAAUAUUCCAUUGUGUAUAUAUACCACAUCAUCAAAAUCAACAAGCAACUAUAAA